UACGUAGGGGGCAAGCGUUGUCCGGAAUCAUUGGGCGUAAAGCGCGUGUAGGCGGUUCAGUAAGUCCGCUGUGAAAGUCAAGGGCUCAACCCUUGAAUGCCGGUGGAUACUGUUGAACUAGAGUCCGGAAGAGGCGAGUGGAAUUCCAGGUGUAGCGGUGAAAUGCGCAGAUAUCAGGAGGAACACCGAUGGCGAAGGCAGCUCGCUGGGACGGUACUGACGCUGAGACGCGAAAGCGUGGGGAGCAAACAGG
rnacentral:rRNA from 1 species